CCCAGGGACGGUGAGAGGCGGGGGAGGUGCAGAGCAAGGAUGGUCACGAGUCUAGGCAAAGUGUAUAAAUAAAUUAGCUCGACUGGCCGCCCCUACUGCUUGUCCACAAAGAGCAAAUCCUGCUCCUCCAGUCCUGUGAGGCUUCUCUCUUGGACCCUCUGAUACUCAAGAGAGGACUUCCUAACACUUGGCCCCAGCAUCGUCCCAUACACCAAAGGGUUGCAGGUUCGAGUGAGUUCGACACAUUGCCUCAGCACAACCGGGAGAAGGGGAGAAGCGUCCUGGGCAGGGGGCAAGGCAGAGAGGAUGGUGACAGCAGAGAGGAUGGUGACAGCAGAGAGGAUGGUGACAGCCCAGGGAAUGCUGACCUCCAGCUGCAGCUGCCAUGACCAGCGUCUUCCUCCAGACACAGAAGAAGCGCCAUCACAGCCCCAGCUUUGGCCAUAGAGAGCUUUCUGUCGACUCCUGUGCCCCUGUGUCAUACCCCCAUCAAUGUGGGGUUUUGUGUAAACUCAGUUUUAUGAGGACUUUGGCACAAGUUCCAUCUGGCGUCUCUGAGACCGAGCUGGCACCGACAGUGGGUGUGUCGGCAAGAACCCGCGCUGCGCCAGCCUGGGCACGUCUGCUUGUAAAGAGCAGAGCAAUGAAGAACGGA